rnacentral:rRNA from 1 species
UAUGGUCAGAGUCCAAGCGCAAGUGUCUAGUAAUCCACCUGGGGAGUACGUCCGCAAGGAUGACACUCAAAGGAAUUGACGGGGGCCCGCACAAGCGCUGGAGCAUGUGGUUUAAUUCGAUGAUACGCGAGGAACCUUACCUGGGCUUGAAAGUUAGUGACCGCUCCUGAAAGGGAGCUUUCCUUCGGGACACGAAACUAGGUGCUGCAUGGCUGUCGUCAGCUCGUGCCGUGAGGUGUCGGAUUAAGUUCCAUAACGAGCGCAACCCCUAUCUUUAGUUGCCAGCGAGUAAUGUCGGGGACUCUAAAGAAACUGCCCGUGUAAGCGGUGAGGAAGGUGGGGAUGACGUCAAGUCAUCACGGCCCUUACGUCCAGGGCGACACACGUGCUACAAUGGUAGGGACAGUGAGUUGCAAGCCAGCAAUGGUGAGCUAAUCUAUAAACCCUAUCUCAGUUCGGAUCGAGGUCUGCAACCCGACCUCGUGAAGCUGGAAUCGCUAGUAAUCGGAUAUCAGCCAUGAUCCGGUGAAUACGUUCCCGGGCCUUGUACACACCGCCCGUCAAGCCAUGGAAAUUGGGAGCG